rnacentral:rRNA from 1 species
GACGAACGCGUGGCGCGUGCUAUACAUGCAAGUCGAGCGCGGGAAGCGUAACUAGGAAUCCUUCGGGAGGACGUUAGUGGAACGAGCGGCGGACGGGUGAGUAACACGUGGGUAACCUGCCUGUAAGACUGGGAUAACUCCGGGAAACCGGGGCUAAUACCGGAUAACACCUCGGAUCGCAUGAUCCGAAGUUGAAAGAUGGUUCUGCUAUCACUUACAGAUGGACCCGCGGCGCAUUAGCUAGUUGGUGAGGUAGUGGCUCACCAAGGCAACGAUGCGUAGCCGACCUGAGAGGGUGAUCGGCCACACUGGGACUGAGACACGGCCCAG